rnacentral:rRNA from 1 species
CCUACGGGAGGCAGCAGUGAGGAAUAUUGGUCAAUGGGCGGAAGCCUGAACCAGCCAAGUCGCGUGAGGGAAUAAGGCCCUACGGGUCGUAAACCUCUUUUGCCGGGGAGCAAGGUCGGGGACGUGUCCCGGCCCGUGGAGUACCCGGAGAAAAAGCAUCGGCUAACUCCGUGCCAGCAGCCGCGGUAAUACGUAGGAUGCGAGCGUUCUCCGGAUUUAUUGGGUUUAAGGGGUGCGUAGGCGGGCUUUUAAGUCAGCGGUAAAAAUUCGGGGCUCAACCCCGUCCGGCCGUUGAAACUGGGGAUCUUGAGUGGGCGAGAAGUAUGCGGAAUGCGCGGUGUAGCGGUGAAAUGCAUAGAUAUCACGCAGAACUCCGAUUGCGAAGGCAGCAUACCGGCGCCCGACUGACGCUGAGGCACGAAAGCGUGGGGAUCGAACAGGAUUAGAUACCCCUGUAGUC